rnacentral:rRNA from 1 species
GACGAACGCUGGCGGCGUGCUUAACACAUGCAAGUCGAACGGAAAGGCCCUGCUUUUGUGGGGUGCUCGAGUGGCGAACGGGUGAGUAACACGUGAGUAACCUGCCCUUGACUUUGGGAUAACUUCAGGAAACUGGGGCUAAUACCGGAUAGGAGCUCCUGCUGCAUGGUGGGGGUUGGAAAGUUUCGGCGGUUGGGGAUGGACUCGCGGCUUAUCAGCUUGUUGGUGGGGUAGUGGCUUACCAAGGCUUUGACGGGUAGCCGGCCUGAGAGGGUGACCGGCCACAUUGGGACUGAGAUACGGCCCAGACUCCUACGUGAGGCAGCAGUGGGGAAUAUUGCACAAUGGGCGGAAGCCUGAUGCAGCAACGCCGCGUGCGGGAUGACGGCCCUCGGGUUGUAAACCGCUUUCGCCUGUGACGAAGCGUGAGUGACGGUAAUGGGUAAAGAAGCACCGGCUAACUACGUG